CUCUUUUAACGUCCCAUCACUGAUCUUCCUCUUUCUCUUUCUCUCUCUUCUUUUCUUCUUCGUCUUCUCUCCCUGAAAGCCCUCCGUGUCUCAUGAAUAAAGAAAACACCAAAGCAUAAUCUCUUGCCCGUGAAAAGAUCAAUCCACGCUAACAAUAACCCAAUUGGCUUCUUCAAACUGUGAACUUUGAAGAAGAACAGGAAGCACAGUACCCCACCUGAUAGGUCUAAAAGGGAGCUCAAGACGAUAAGAAAAUAGGUAAAAUUGAAGCAGAUCGUUCGUCACCAUAUUAUCACCUUAAAGAUAGUAGAUUAGUAUAUUUGAUUUUCAUGGAGUCAGCAUCAGGAGGGACUGGAGCAUCCGACCCGAAUAGCGGAGAACCGAUUCCAUCAACAGCAGCAGCUGCUCCAACGGGAGCAUCUUCAGCAUCGCAAGGACAAGCAGAGGGAUCAUUU
rnacentral:misc_RNA from 1 species